UGUAGUGCUUCAAUUAACUAGAAAAUGCAUAAUGGUACAAAUGAAAUUUACUGAUAAAUGAAUACCAAGUCACAUACAUACAUCAAGGUAUAAAUUUUAAGAAACGUUUAGGCAUAUUGGUACUUUUUGUGGAUCCAUCAAAGUACAAACACAAUCCUAAAACAUCCAAACCAGGAAAAUGCUACAUGAAAGUAAAAUCUGAAUAACCUGGGGUCAAGGAAGAAUAUAAUCCAAGGUUUUUUUACAUCAAUUUGUUUGUACAAUUAUUUUCAGUUCAACUUCUAUCAGAACAGCUGUAUAGUAUUAUUAAAUUAACCAUAAAACCCUAUCAAUUUAACAACUAACAAGACAAGACGGCUUAAUUGGGCCGACGAAUCCAAACAAACAGAAAAGAGAGAAAAUAAAUUCAAUGAAAAAUUGAAGCUCUUGGAAAACAUAAAAUUGACAAAAGGGGAAAAAUUAAUUCUUUGACGAACAAAAAAAAUUCAGAAUGAAAAGAAACACUGCAUUAAUUCUUUGCAGGUUCAGAGCAAAGCAAACCUUUUUUGCUUCCAAUAUGUAAAUAGAUAUAACUAAUAUUUGAUUUCAAAUGUAUCGGGGGAGAGAACCUGCAAACAUCGUCGAGGAGUUCUUGAGGAGCGAGCUAAUCAUUCUUCAAUGGAGCGCAUGGAAGAUGGUUAGAGCCCUCUGUUCACCGUUCAAUUCUAGGGCUUGAAGCAGUAGCCAAAGAGGGGAAAGACGGAGCAAAGCUAAGAUGAUGAUUAUUA
rnacentral:lncRNA from 1 species